AUUUGUAUGAAUUCAAGUAUACAUAAAUAUACAAACAUAAAAGUAGGUUUCUGAUUCUACCUUUAAAAUACAAUUAUCCUGCAUGGCCCCUGCGCAAGGAUGACACGCAAAUUCGUGAAGCGUUCCAUAUUUUU
rnacentral:snRNA from 1 species